GUGAGGAAUUUUGCACAAUGGGGGAAACCCUGAUGCAGCGACGCCGCGUGAGUGACGAAGGCCUUCGGGUCGUAAAGCUCUGUCAGUAGGGAAGAAAUGUGCGAUGGCUAAUAUCCAUUGUACUUGACGGUACCUACAAAGGAAGCACCGGCUAACUCCGUGCCAGCAGCCGCGGUAAUACGGAGGGUGCGAGCGUUGUUCGGAUUUACUGGGCGUAAAGGGCGCGUAGGCGGCCUGUCAAGUCAUAUGUGAAAGCCCACGGCUCAACCGUGGAAGUGCAUGUGAAACUGGCAGGCUUGAGUACUGGAGGGGAGUGUGGAAUUCCCGGUGUAGAGGUGAAAUUCGUAGAUAUCGGGAGGAAUACCGGUGGCGAAGGCGACACUCUGGACAGAUACUGACGCUGAGGCGCGAAAGCGUGGGGAGCAAACAGGAUUAGAUACCCCAGUAGUCC
rnacentral:rRNA from 1 species